rnacentral:rRNA from 1 species
AGUGAACGCUGGCGGUAGGCCUAACACAUGCAAGUCGAACGGCAGCACAGUAAGAGCUUGCUCUUACGGGUGGCGAGUGGCGGACGGGUGAGGAAUACAUCGGAAUCUACUUUUUCGUGGGGGAUAACGUAGGGAAACUUACGCUAAUACCGCAUACGACCUACGGGUGAAAGCAGGGGAUCUUCGGACCUUGCGCGAUUGAAUGAGCCGAUGUCGGAUUAGCUAGUUGGCGGGGUAAAGGCCCACCAAGGCGACGAUCCGUAGCUGGUCUGAGAGGAUGAUCAGCCACACUGGAACUGAGACACGGUCCAGACUCCUACGGGAGGCAGCAGUGGGGAAUAUUGGACAAUGGGCGCAAGCCUGAUCCAGCCAUACCGCGUGGGUGAAGAUGGACUUCGGGUUGUAAAGCCCUUUUGUUGGGAAAGAAAAGCAGCAGGUUAAUACCCCGCUGUUCUGACGGUACCCAAAGAAUAAGCACCGGCUAACUUCGUG